UACGGAGGAUCCAAGCGUUAUCCGGAUUUAUUGGGUUUAAAGGGCGCGUAGGCGGCCACCGCAAGUCAGUUGUGAAAUCUCUGGGCUUAACCCAGAAAGGUCAACUGAUACUGCGGGGCUAGAGUGCAGAAGGGGCAACUGGAAUUCUCGGUGUAGCGGUGAAAUGCGUAGAUAUCGAGAGGAACACCUGCGGCGAAGGCGGGUUGCUGGGCUGACACUGACGCUGAGGCGCGAAAGCUAGGGGAGCGAACGGG
rnacentral:rRNA from 1 species